rfam:Myxococcus xanthus DK 1622, complete genome.
GACCCCGUAGCUCAGUUGGAUAGAGCGGCGGUUUCCUAAACCGCAGGCCACAGGUUCGAUUCCUGUCGGGGUCA